CGCUUGGAGGCUGUCGUUCAGGAGCUGCUGGCUGCAGGCUCUGCUGAGUCACUGGCCUUGGCGACAUGCAUUGGCUGAGACCCGGCAGGCAGGUCUCUGAUGCAUGUUCUCCAUGAGAGGCUCCAUUGACCAGCUCUGUCUUAAUAGGAGUGUUUACCAACUCACAGUGCCUCUGCCGUAGGCUGCUUUGUUUCACUUGCAGAGACAAGAAAGCUCUGUCUUGCUACGUUAUUUAUUAAGAAAGAGGAGAGGCUGCACGUCCUGAUGAGUCAACACAGCAGGCAGGCUGGGGAGAAAUCAUUCUGUGCUUGUCAGUAUCA